AAUUCCCGCCCGCUAACUCCUAUCUCCACCGAUCCAAAUGAUCUCCUAGCCCUCACUCCCGGACAUUUCCUCAUUGGCGAUUCAUUAAUGUGCUUACGUGAUCGAGAUUUCAGAGACAUUCCAUCGAACCGACUCUCCAAAUGGCAGCAUAUCCAACAGCUUAAACAACAUUUUUGGAACCGCUGGCAUAAGGAGUAUUUGAACGAGCUAACCAACCGCAAUAAAUGGAGCAAGGGUGGACACAGCAUCCAAAAGGGCACAAUCGUCAUCCUCAGAGAGGACAACGUUCCCUCCAUGCAUUGGCCUCUGGGCCGAGUUAUCAAGGUUCAUCCAGGCGCCGAUGGUGUCAUCCGGACAGCUACAGUUCAGACGGCAAAGAGCAUUUUGGAUCGGGGCGUCAAAAGGCUUGUCCCACUGCCAAUUCAACCCGAUCUCGAGAAACCCGAACAACUAGCCACCGAGACGAAAUAAGAUGGGAACUUCAACCACACCUCCCUAGUUUGAUCGGUACCCUCUCAACGGGGGGAGAAUGUUACGCCAUGCGGCUUACCAUAGGUCAUAUUCUUAACUAUCGAUCGCGGCACUAUAAUGUCGCAGACGGAUCGUCGCGUCUGCCCGGCAAACAAACAUUGUAGUGGCAAGCGCAUGGUUCAUUAAGCAGGGCGACUUCCAGAAACGUCGACUCGUGGCCCGUAUUUUACCUCGCAGUAAAAGAAUGUGGCGUGAUCCGAACGUAGUGGGGGUCGCCUUCCAGAAAAAACGAAAAAAAUCGAAAGGCGUUCAGAACUUUUCGAGAAGUCGAACCGUCAACACAUGUGGCGCUUGGCCAUGGAUCGUUGCAUUAGGUUUUCGUAAUCCCCGAAACCCAGACAAACCACUAUGGAAGUGCGGAGGUUCCCUGAUAUCGGCUAGGCAUGUUUUGACCGCAGCACAUUGUGCACAUAUGGAUGGAAUAGAAAACAUACACAAUCAUAAUAUUGCCAUUCUUAGAUUGGUGGAGGAGGUGCCAUUUUCGAGGUACGUAUAUCCCAUUUGUACGAAAGAGCUCCUGCGAAAGAGCAACUUCGUCGGCUAUAACCCCCUUGUUGCUGGAUGGGGAGCAUUAAGAUAUAGACGACCACGACGUAAUGCAUUAAUGGAAGUACAAAUGCCAGUGAUUAAGAACGCCGAAUGCAAAAUAGCUUAUUCCAAAUUUCCUAAUGCACCUGAUGUCACUGAUGGUAUAAUAUGCGCCGAACGUGCUCAGGGUGGAAAGGAUUCUUGUACGGCUGACCGCGGCGGACCACUGCUGAUACAACAUGAAUUAACCUCGUAUUUAAUAGGUAUUGUGUCUUAUGCUUAUAAGUGCGGCACAGCUGGGUAUCCCAGCGUUUACACUAGGGUCACAUCGUACCUUGACUUCAUUCUCCAAGCGAUGCAAUAAUAUGAUAUUACUGUUCCAUAAAUAUCAUUGUGUAAAAAACGUAAAGUUGGAUUUUCUUAUUGUGGAGAUAAGAAACAGCUCAAAUUUACAUUGUUUUGUACGUUACAAAUUAUAGGCUUAAAAUGUACGAAAUGUAACUUUGAAACGACACUAAUUUUUUACGCACGAUAAACCUCCACGACUUAGAUUAUAGAUUCCUAUACGACUCUCAGUAAAAAUUUAUCCGCAAUCCAGAUAGUUAAAACUUCUGUCGACCGUAUUGAUCCAUCUGCACUCUUCGUAUGACGUCAAUAUCUGUUCAGUGCUGCUGCGCAGGUUUCUUUGUGUUACGUCAAUUCGUUUGUGACCGUUGCGCGAGUAAUGGCGCUUUGCAAUGGUGAUUUGCAGGAAAACAGUGCAGAAUGCUGUGAUUCGUUUCUUGUGGUCGGAGGUUAUGUUUGAUGCCUAUAUUUAUCAAAGAUUUAAUGCACAUUAUGGAGAAAGUGUUUUGUCACGAAGUGUGUUUGAAUGGGCACAAAGGUUCAAAGAAGAUCGCACAAGUGUUAUGAAAAAACAGGUGGACGCCCGUCCACAUCCACGAUGACAACAUUGAACGUGUUCAUGAACUUAUGCUCUAUGGAAUAGACGAGUGACACUGGAUAAUGUGGCAAAUCAUUUGCAAAUCAGCCACGGCUCUGCUUAUGCAAUAGUGCACGACAGAUUUGGGUUUUAAAAAGUUUGUGCGAGAUGGAUGCCGAAAAAGCUGAUGAAAAGGUGAAGACGACGAUGCAUUCGUGGUUCGCAGCUCAGCCCAAAACAUUUUUUAAUGAGAAAAUACGAAGGUCCUUCGGCAAAUGGACAAAGUGUAUACAGAAAUCGAGUGAUUAUGUCAAAAAAUGAUGUAUGUCUUUUUUGACAAUUGCUUAAAAUAAAUUCUACACCGACAGAGCGGGUAACUUUUUACUCACCCUCGUAAGACACUUAAAUUUCCAAUCUAUUAUGAUGAAUAAAAGAGCUUAUACUAUUAAA